AACGCACAUUGCGCCUCUCUUUACCGGGAGGCAUGCCUGUCUGAGCGUCAUUUAAACCAUAGACAGACAUACAUUCAUUUGUUUUGUUUGUUUGUUUUGAUUUUCGCCUUAGGGCGUUACCCUAAAAUUAUGGGUCUAAAUUAACGGGACGAGAUCCUUCAAGGACUAAAACCGUGAAUCAGACCAGAUAAAAUUUCUGAUUUUGACCUCAGAUCAGGUAGGGAUACCGCCUGAACUUAA
rnacentral:misc_RNA from 1 species